rnacentral:rRNA from 1 species
CUACGAGUGGCUCCAGUGAGGAAUAUUGCACAAUGGAGGAAACUCUGAUGCAGCAACGCCGCGUGGAGGAUGACGCAUUUCGGUGUGUAAACUCCUUUUAUAUGUCAAGAAAAUGACGGUAGCAUAUGAAUAAGCUCCGGCUAACUCCGUGCCAGCAGCCGCGGUAAUACGGAGGGAGCAAGCGUUACUCGGAAUCACUGGGCGUAAAGGACGCGUAGGCGGGAUAGAAAGUCAGGUGUGAAAUCCUAUGGAUCAACCAUAGAACUGCACUUGAAACUUCUAACCUAGAGUAUGGGAGGGGAAGAUGGAAUUAGUGGUGUAGGGGUAAAAUCCGUAGAUAUCACUAGGAAUACCAAAAGCGAAGGCGAUCUUCUGGAACAAUACUGACGCUAAGGCGUGAAAGCGUGGGGAGCAAACAGGAUUAGAUACCCUCGUAGUC